rnacentral:lncRNA from 1 species
AAGUAUACUUAAUAAUUUGUUAUAAUUUAGAUGAGGUAGUAAGGAUACUAUAGCUGCUGUGAUGCCUGGGGAGGAAGCAGGAGAGGAGGGUCACAGUUCUGCCAUGCCAGCUGUGGCUGCCUGUUGGCAGAGGAGAGGGGAGGUUUCUAGUGGCCUGAAGCCUUGUCUUGAUCCGAAGAAGUUCUCCUGUCCUAACUUUUUCUGGAGCUUAAAAAGACCUUCUUCUUGUUUCAGAGAUAAGCACAGAAUCCAGACUUCUGCCCCAAAUUGGAGAAAACCAAAGCUGAGAGUCAAGUUUCUGAGGCAUUUGACUGGUAACUCCAUCUCUCACAAAGGAUCUAUCUUUUCUGGGUUCUGACUGCCACUGGAGAGAGACUGAAACACAUGGAUGCCCAGAUAGCUAGCAGAAUAGCUUCUCAUCACUGAUGUUUGUUUACUUAAUUGUCAAAACAGGGUUUGUAUAUGAAAGUUUGAUAUUAAAGUUAUUGAUACCACUGCUGAUUUUUUUUAGUUUUAAUAUUGAACGUGUUCUUUAGAAAUCCUUCUCUAUCAGUAAAUCUGCUCACAUAGAAGAUUCAUCCAACUUCCUUCCCUCCCUAGGGUUCAUCAUGAAAAAUAUUGUACAGUGCAGAAGCC